GAUGAACGCUGGCGGCGUGCCUAACACAUGCAAGUCGAGCGGACAGACGAGGCUUUUGCUCGGCUGACGUGAGGGGCGGGCGGGUGAGUCACACGAGUAUACCCUACCUAUAGGACUGAGAUCCCUAAGGGAAAGCGGAUACAACAUAGGACAAUAUAUUGAACCGCGGGGUUCUUUGGACAUGGCCGGUUUUGCUGUCACUAAUUGAGGGUUCCUAGCCGGAUGAGCUAGUUGGUACGGUAACGGCCUACCAAGGCUAGGAUGCGUAGCCGACCUGAGAGGCUGAUCGGCCACACUGGAGCUGAGACACGGUCCAGACUCCUACGGGAGGCAGCAGUCGGGAAUCUUCGGCAAUGGGCGAAAGCCUGACGCAGCGACGCCGCGUGUGUGAUGAAGGUCUUCGGAUCGUAAAGCUCUGUUACUGGGGAGGAACGGCUGUGUGAUGAAACAUGGCCGUCUUGACGGUACCUAGUGAAGAAGCCCCGGCUAACUACGUG
rnacentral:rRNA from 1 species